GAAGUAACAAGACGAGCUUUGAUUUCUAAUCGAAAGCUAAAAUGGUUAAAUUCCAUUUUUACUUCU
rnacentral:tRNA from 1 species